UUUGGCAAGUUAGAGAACUGAGGCACAGAGGUUUACCAGUUUGCCUAAGGUCACAUAUUAGUAAGGUUUGUACUCUAGCUCUGGACACUAUGCUUCUAACUGAGAGACGAAAUCUGCAAAUAGACAAUGAGACCAUAUAUAAAAAUAGAACUCUGACCCACAACUUGUAGCAAGCUGUCCAGGAAGCCAACCUAUUAUCUACAAUAACCAGACUAGGAAGCUAGCUUGCUAUAAAGGAGAUCUAUAGGAAGUCACAGUACUAUCUUGAGUAGCAAUCCAGGAAGCCAAAUAAUAACCCCUGCAACAAUCGACCCCAAAAGGCUAUGAUUUGACAGCUUUCCAAAUAUUUAUUCCAACUGCAAGCUGAGAACCAUCCAGAGAAAGCCAAGCAUGUAUAUAACCAAUCACAUAGAAUGCCCUGUUUGUAGUUAGUAGACUCACAGCAUCCCCAAUUGCAACAACCUCCAAUCAAGGCAUACAUGAAGCCUUCCUAUUUUAUCACCAUAAAACUUUGCCGUCUCUCUGCCUGCCUUUGAGUCUCUGCCAAAACAUAAGUGAUGGUGGCUGACUCCCUUGCUAUAGCAAACUCUGAAUUAACAACUUUGGCUUUUCUCAUUUGUUUAGUUUUUAUUUAUUUCCACAUAGCCAGAACAAUAUCCGUUAUAGCUAAUGUAAUUGAAUUUGUGCAUAUCUAACAUAGAUUCUAAGACUGUAGCUAAAACUGCUGAAAGGCCAAUAAUCAACUCAUUUCAUCACUUCAUUUUCGUAAUAUGGCCCCACUUGUAUUUAGUAUUUAGAGGAUUUCAUAUAUCUAUAGAAAGUCCAAGUUAAUGAUAAUCACAAUAAUAGUAACAAAGUAUAAGUCAAUGGUAAGAACAAUAGUAAUAAUAAAAGUAAAUGUGUUAUUAAGUACUUAUAACCACCACAUACAUUAUUAAAAACAGUAUUUAGAUUAGUUUGUUGCAUGCUCAAAUUAAUCAUAUGAGCUGAUUACUGGCAUAUUUCCAUUUUACAAGGAAACAGAGACUUAGAAGUUAAGAAACUCGCCAAAUAUCCACGUUGUUUACAUAUUAUACAAACAUCAUUUAAUUUUGCCGGCUUACCUCCAAACUUUAAUUGCAUUUAUAUUUAGUUCAAUACCUGGCACACAGAAUUCAACUUAAUAGAGAAAAGAAUAGAUUACUUAGAUAAUAACCAAGAUUCAGUAAAACCUACACUAACCCUAAAGACCUAUUCACCAAAUUUUUUGGAACUUCCUUAGGUUUUCCUCAGCAGCUUUUUUUCUACGUGAAAAAAUACAUAUGUGUAAAAUAACUACAUUUCCCAUUUAGAUAAGAGUGUCUUAAGAGCAUACUAUCAUUUUUGCUUUUUCUCAAGGUUUUAAGUGUGUGCAUGCUGUGAACACUCAGACAAUGCUGGAGAGAAGCAGACACUGUGCUACCCACUUACCUAUGUGCCUGGUGAAUCUACUGUCAACUGUUGAAAGCAGUAACUGGCCCCUAACAUCACCACAUCCAAAGGCCAUGAAAGAGCGAAAUCUGUCUAGUAGACCGUUGAACUCCCAGGCCUCUAUUCUGAAGUCUCAUGGGAGCCGUUCUGUUUAAGUUCACUGCACCUGAUCCCAAGGAGCUCAAUGGAUCUCACAGUUCCCAGUUCUGCUGAAUAUUGUCACUGGUUACCUGUGGGGAGCUGCAUGGUGUGAUAUGAGGGGGGAAUCAAGACUACAGUGAAAGAACUUGAGUGAGGCAUAUGGCUGCACAGCUAUAAAGACAAUUUCCAGUCUCCCCUGCAUCAAAUGUGCCUGUGUCCUUGCCAAUGGAUUACAAGUCGAGAACAGCACUGGAAGCUGGUGAUGAAGAGGAGCCCUUCUCCCUUUUGAUGUGAAACAGAUACAAUGUCAAAAAAAAAAAGACACCACACAAACAGACAAACAAACAAAAACCCAAAAAACCAAGAUUACUCCUUAUAGAAACUGACCUGUCCACUGCAUUUCUUUCCCUGGCAUUAAUAGUUCACCAGUAUUAUUCGAGGCUAUAUUUCAGUGGUUAUUGUAGUUAUUGUUUUCUCCCUUAUCUCCCUGAAUUUAGUAAAAUCUUUGCUCUACAUGGUACUGAUAUGAUAAAUCACAUUAUACUCAAGCUCUCUGGAAAUGAAACGGCUUGCCUUUAAGAUAUCAAAUUCUACAGCAAAGCCCUUCCCCCAUCUACCACUAACCUUUUGGCUUUCCUCAGUCUUUGACUAGUUGGAAAUAAUAUUUCUCUGGUGCUGACACUGCAGAGGAUACAGAAAUUCAAACUGCAUGAAGGUUGAUAAAAAUGAAUUUUAUCAGGAAAGUGAGAAAGUGUUCAUAUAAAUGAACUUUAGAUAGCUAUGGAGAGAUAAUCUGGGUAUUUAGCUGAGAGAUGAAUACUUAGAUUACUAUACUAGAGCAGAAGAAAAUUCAUUUUUUCUUCUUGGAUUUUGUAUUAUAUGUAGAAUUUCAAAACUCUUGACCUCCAAAGAACUUCCAAAUGCAUCUUAAUACCUCAUGAUUUUAUUUGGCUUAUUUUCUACUUCCAAGAACAUUUGUACUCUUUAGGAAGAUAAAAAACUGAGUUACAAGGCAUGUACAAGGUCAUAUUUUGAGCCACUAGUGGAACUUGGACUGAAUUUUUGAACACUUUCUCAAACCAGUUGAACUCAAUUUUCACUGCAUUGUACAUGCCAAAAUUUUUUCAAUACUAUAUAGGAAAAAUUAUUUUUCUUAUCUUGUUUUUCGUUGGUGUGUUUCCCCCCACCCCUACACAGUCUAACCUUUGGCAUCCCAUUUCUUGCCCUUAGGUUGUAUGUGUGUACUACACAGCUUAUCACAUUUAAGGUACAUGCACAUGGUGAGUUCAAAUCACUGAAGCUUACUGAGCAUGUCAGUGUGAAAUGUUGCAAAAGAGGAAAGACACUAAGAGAUUAUUCCUGAUGCUGGUGAGCCCAGAUGUGUCCUCUAGAUGUCCUACAGAUGUUACCUAAUAACUUUAAGAGGCUACUUGUGGUGAUAACUGUGAUAAAUUAAAUGUGAUCAAUUAAUAUUUUGAUUAAUUCAAUUCUAUUUAAAUGAAAUGAAAACUCAUUUUAUAGCCAAUCAUCCUGGUACAGAUCGGAUGGUAUUAAGGCAUUAAUUUUCUUUUUUUGAGCAGUUAGCAACACACCUUCCAUUUCCUUGCUAUCAUACUUUUCCAGCAUUUGGCUACUCUUAACAAAAAGCAUAAAAGGCUUCUCUAUUCUUUUCCCAAAUUAAACCUUCCUUCUUCAUACAUCAAAGAAAAGAGAGUUCAAAUUCUUUUCCAGCUCUUUUUUAUUAAUGCUUGAGCAAAGAUAUAUGUUUUCACAAGCACCAGUUAAACCAGAAAGAGAAGAAUUUCUCAGUGAUUCAGUGGAUCCAUCAAUCAAUGCUGUAAACUUUUUCAAAUUUAUGGUAUGUUAAAAUAAUUACAAUUAUAAUUAUUAUUAAAGAAGGCUCUCUGAGACCAAAUUUUUGCUUUAUUCAUUAUCUAUCCUUGUCUCUCCCACAACCAUUCACCCACUAUUUAGAAGACCUACUUCUAUGCUCCUCUGCUCUAUUUGUAACUAAUAAUAAUUAAUUAUAAAAUAUUUUGCUACUGAUGAGCUAAAUCAAACUCAUCACUUCCUCUUUCCUGAAUCUAGCCUGCUUGUAUUUAAAUUACUCUCUUGCUGCCUUUCAAAUCACUUGAGGCUGGAAAACUUUUCAAUGUUCUAUAUUCAUUUAUAAUAUAUAUGUGUACAAAUGACUAAUACAUGUAAUACAUAUGUAUGAUACAUAUGUAAUACAGAUAUAAUACAUGCAAUAUAUAUAGGUAUGCUUCUAUCUCUCCCCUCCCCCUCCUUACUCUUUGUUCUGGUAUUAUACUAAUUUUAUGAAAUUCUUU